rnacentral:lncRNA from 1 species
GUUAGAGGGAACGUUCUCUGAGCAUACGCCCUCGUUCUUGGCCCCAUACCCAGACUUUGUUGCGCUGGCCCUGGUGCUGCUGAUGGCUGUUCCUGAGGCUAGGAUUUGAAUCCAAGGCACCCCUUUGACCUACACCACAGCUCAUGGCCUUUGCUUCCCCAUGUGACACAUGCCAGUCAGAAUGUUUCCACAUAUGGACACACCUCCAUCCGUGGACAAAAUCAGCCCAGCUCAGAAUCAUUGACAGACUCACAAGUUUCCUUGUGUAUAUUGAGGACAGGGCUAUUCUUUAAUUUGUUUAAUUAAUUAAUUAAUUAAUUUAUUUAUUUAUUUUGUAUUUUGUAGGGCGUCACCCACGGCAUAUGGAGGUUCCCAGGCUAGGGGUCUAAUCUGAGCUGUUGCUGCCGACCUACACCACUGCCACAGCAAUGUCAGAUCCAAGCUGUGGCUGCAACCUACACCACAGCUCACGGAAAUGCUGGAUCCUUAACCCAAGGGAUUGAACCUGCAACCUCAUGGUGCCUAGUUGGAUUCGUUAACCACAGAGCCAAAAUGGGAACACCAAGGAUAUUCUUUUAAAGGAAAGGAGAUUCUCAGAGCAAGAACUAAUGUACUAUUUGUCUCAGCUUUACUGAAAUAUCAUUCACAUACCACAUUCUGUAAGAUUAUGACAUACAGUGUGAUUAUUUGAUAGUGUAUACAGUGUGUAUAUAUUGUGAGAUGAUUGCCACGAGAAGACAUGAACCAUCUUGG